GGGCGGUUAGCUCAGCUGGUUAGAGCGCCUGCUUCACACGCAGGAGGUCACUGGUUCGAUCCCAGUAUCGCCCA
rnacentral:tRNA from 1 species